UGGAGUUACUGCAUCAAGACUUUGAAGUCCUCAUGAUUAAUUUAUUUUCAUUUUAUUACAUAGGUUAAUUUUGUCUCAAUGCUUCUGUGACAUAUCCAGAGAGGGAAGAAUGUGCAAGUAUUGCCUUGCUCGAACGCGCAUGCAUACCAAACUUGGUUGGUAUAAGAUUCCUGAAUAAGACCCUCUGGCUGAUCUAAAGAAACCUCACCCUGAAUAAAGGUCUUUCCUGCCUGAACAAGAGAGCAGCCUUAGAAGAAUGAGGAUGAUCACUGCUUACUCCCUGAGAGUACCUCCAGACGUCUCAACCAUAAUUAUGCCAGUCUGGGAGAAUUACAGCGUUUCAGCACAGUGGAUCCAGGGAGAAGGCGUGCCAGGCAGGCAACAGGAAAUACAAGACAGCCGUGUUUACAAGGACAGCACGUGAUGCAGCAGCAACAUACACCAGAGGGACUGGUGCCACAAGAGAGAAAAAUUAAUUAAACACCUCUUUAGCAAUCUACAGCAAACCCAGAUAGGUAGUUCUUUUGAUGAGGAUAGAUACUUUUAUUUUCAUUUUUUUUUCCUUCACCACUGAAUUUUAUAUUGCUUCAGACUUGCUCUUGCCUGUCUGUAUGUCAAGCUUGGCUUUGAAAUGUAAUACAUCUCCAGGGGUGUGAACGUUCUCAAGAACAGGCAGUGAGCUUGUUGUGUCUCUGCACUUGAAUGACAGAUACCUGCAAAUGGAAAACAAACAAGUGGAGCUGGUGCUGAUAGGUAUACCUUCAGUAUGUGCAAUGUACUGACAUAAAUCUCCUUGUCUGGCACAGCGGGCACUAUAUGUGUCAGUAAUGUGCUAUGUGGCAAUGGCAUCCUGUUGGUUUUAUAUUAAUGGCAAACUGACAAACUGAUCAUCCGAAUCUCCUUGUUCCUGUUUCCAGGCUUGUUCUUGUUUCCUCCUACGCCUGGAUUUAGUCACCAUGGCGGCAAAACAAAUACAUGCAUCAAAUGUAGCAUUUCAAUCACAAAACCUGCAUUUUCUACCCACAUUAAAGGAUAUCAUGGUUUCAGA